GACGAACGCUGGCGGCGUGCUUAACACAUGCAAGUCGAACGGAAAGGCCCUGCUUUUGUGGGGUGCUCGAGUGGCGAACGGGUGAGUAACACGUGAGUAUCCUGCCCUUGACUUUGGGAUAACUUCAGGAAACUGGGGCUAAUACCGGAUAGGAGCUCCUGCUGCAUGGUGGGGGUUGGAAAGUUUCGGCGGUUGGGGAUGGACUCGCGGCUUAUCAGCUUGUUGGUGGGGUAGUGGCUUACCAAGGCUUUGACGGGUAGCCGGCCUGAGAGGGUGAACGGCCACAUUGGGACUGAGAUACGGCCCAGACUCCUACGGGAGGCAGCAGUGGGGAAUAUUGCACAAUGGGCGGAAGCCGGAUGCAGCAACGCCGCGUGCGGGAUGACGGCCUUCGGGUUGUAAACCGCUUUCGCCUGUGACGAAGCGUGAGUGACGGUAAUGGGUAAAGAAGCACCGGCUAACUACGUG
rnacentral:rRNA from 1 species